rnacentral:rRNA from 1 species
UUUAGAGGAAGUAAAAGUCGUAACAAGGUUUCCGUAGGUGAACCUGCGGAAGGAUCAUUACCGAGUUUUCGAGCUCCGGCUCGACUCUCCCACCCUUUGUGAACGUACCUCUGUUGCUUUGGCGGCUCCGGCCGCCAAAGGACCUUCAAACUCCAGUCAGUAAACGCAGACGUCUGAUAAACAAGUUAAUAAACUAAAACUUUCAACAACGGAUCUCUUGGUUCUGGCAUCGAUGAAGAACGCAGCGAAAUGCGAUAAGUAAUGUGAAUUGCAGAAUUCAGUGAAUCAUCGAAUCUUUGAACGCACAUUGCGCCCCUUGGUAUUCCGGGGGGCAUGCCUGUUCGAGCGUCAUUACAACCCUCAAGCUCUGCUUGGAAUUGGGCACCGUCCUCACUGCGGACGCGCCUCAAAGACCUCGGCGGUGGCUGUUCAGCCCUCAAGCGUAGUAGAAUACACCUCGCUUUGGAGCGGUUGGCGUCGCCCGCCGGACGAACCUUCUGAACUUUUCUCAAGGUUGACCUCGGAUCAGGUAGGGAUACCCGCUGAACUUAAGCAUAUCAAUAAC